rnacentral:rRNA from 1 species
AACGCGAAGAACCUUACCUGGGCUUGAACCGCACAGGACCAGCUUGAGAAAUCAGGCCUUCCCGCAAGGGACCUGUGUAGAGGUGCUGCAUGGCUGUCGUCAGCUCGUGCCGUGAGAUGUUGGGUUAAGUCCCGCAACGAGCGCAACCCUUAUCGUUAGUUGCCAGCGGGUUAUGCCGGGCACUCUAGCGAAACCGCCCCGGAUAACGGGGAGGAAGGUGGGGAUGACGUCAAGUCCUCAUGGCCUUUAUGUCCAGGGCUACACACGUGCUACAAUGGCCGGUACAAACCGUCGCAAACCCGCGAGGGGGAGCUAAUCGGAAAAAGCCGGCCUCAGUUCGGAUUGGAGUCUGCAACCCGACUCCAUGAAGCUGGAAUCGCUAGUAAUCGCAGAUCAGCACGCUGCGGUGAAUACGUUCCCGGGCCUUGUACACACCGGCUAC